rnacentral:tRNA from 1 species
UCCCAUGUGGCUCAGUUGGUAGAGCUUGGUGUUUGCAAUGCCAGGGUUGUGGGUUCGAUUCCCACGGGGGAC